AACGAACGCUGGCGGCGUGCCUAACACAUGCAAGUCGUGCGAGAAAGUUCCUUCGGGAGCGAGUAAAGCGGCGCACGGGUGAGUAACACGUAGGUAACCUGCCCCCCAGUCUGGAACAACUAGAGGAAACUACUAGCUAAUGCCGGAUGAGACCACGAUCCCUUCGGGGUUGGCGGCCAAAGAUGGCCUCUACUUGUAAGCUAUCGCUGAGGGAUGGGCCUGCGGGCCAUUAGCUUGUUGGUGAGGUAACGGCUCACCAAGGCUGUGAUGGCUAGCUGGUCUGAGAGGAUGACCAGCCACACUGGGACUGAGACACGGCCCAGACUCCUACGGGAGGCAGCAGUGGGAAUAUUGCGCAAUGGGCGAAAG
rnacentral:rRNA from 1 species